rnacentral:lncRNA from 1 species
AGACAAUCUGCCUGUCAUCACAGAGUAGGUGGCCAGGCAGGACUGUGGGUGUGGAUAUGGGGACUAUGUCAGUUGUUAACCAGGGUCCACACUGCAGUUACCAGGAGCUAGUUGGUAUUAAGUUGCAAUUCCACUGGACAGGAACCAGAGAGUUUAUUUCACCCUGAAAGCAAAAGCCAUCUCCUUUCUACACAGACAAGUCCCCUUAAGGUAGGUGGGAUUUGUUCUGUUAAUUCAUCUACCAUGUAAAAAACAAUGGGCUUGAUGCUGGAGAUAGAGUGUUCAACAAGACAGACAGAGGCCCUGCAGCCAUGGACAGGACUUUCUCGAUCAUAAUUUUCAAUCUGUUUAUUCUGUUUAUAAAUCCUUGUCAGGAGAAUUAAAAUACCCAUUUCUGCUUCUUUGAGGUCCUAUGGUCUUUUAAAUUUCCAAAAGUCUUCAUUUUUAUAUUCUGUUAAAUAUUAAUAUUGAGUGGAACAGCAGAAUAGAAAAUAUACUUAAGUGGAUAGAAGAGGGCUUUUUCAUGCGUCUUUACCAUCAAUUAGCUAGUUCACCUUUCACUCACUGAAGUUCAUCCCUGGUUGAACCUUAGAACCAUACAGAGAACAUAAAAAAAUAAAGCUUUAAAAACCAAAAAUUAAAACAACCUCUCACACACAGUGUUCAGAUCCAACCUCUGACCAAUAAGAGAAUCUCCAAAAGUAAGGGCCUAGACUUCUAUGUAAGCAAAUCCAUUUGUGCUUUCUAAAUUAUAAGAUUUGACAAAUUCCCCUCUAAGCUGAUUUCCCUUUUUUAAAAUUAACUGAUUUUGUCUGAAUUUACAGCCAAGCCAUUGAGCAUAUUGUCAGGAAGUUUAGAAAACUGUAGCAUAGAAUUUUGAUGAAGGGGCACCAUUAAGUGAGCAUAUUCACUUGACUUUUUUCCUUAAUAUUUCUUUUUACUUCCUACUUCUCCUCUUUUCAAGAGCAUCUUUUUCUUUCAAGGACUGUGAGUUGAGACUAUGCAGGAAAAUCUGAAAGACUCACAAACAUCAAGUUGAUAGGUUUCCAUCUCCUGAAAAGCUAUCUACUGGAAGCUGAAACUUCAUGACAGUGGGGAAAGCUCAUGAAAUUCACCAGCCUNCUGGCAUGGCUGUCCUUGGUCAGGACAAGAGAUGCUUCCUCAUCCAAACUAGAAAUAGGGACAGUUCUGUGGGGAACAAGUAAGUUGGUGGUUUUCUUGAUUUUUCUCAGUAAAGCAAGAAACAAGGAAAUUUGCUUAGAGUCGAGGAAGAUUAUGGCUUUAUAAGAAUUGAAGUUUUGUAAUCAGAAGGGAGCAUCAGUAUUACUGUAGCUCAUCAAAAUGAAAACAAAGGGAAAGAGCUAUAAUGCUGAUGGUCGAAGUUUGUAGAAUACAAAUUGAAAUGGUUCAUAUUAUAAAGUUAACUGAUACCAAUAAAAAGUAUAUUCUUAUAAUUUUAGAGGUAAAAAGUUUAAUUGUAGACUUGAGUUGUUGGAGUUUUGCUUAACAGAUGUGGCUGAAGAAAGGAGCUACAAAAGGAAUGAAAGAUGUUGGUGCAAGUUUAAUAUCUACAACAAACAGAAGAGAGUUCAAGAAAGAGCUGUUCACUUUCUUAGCACUAUUUCUCUCUUAGCAAUAUAUCCUUGCUUCUUUAACACACACACACACCACACACACACACACACACACACAUACACAUACACAAAUAUUCAUAUGCACAUAAUCUGAUGCUAAGACAGUUUCAAGAACACAUCUUCCAAAGCAUAUGCUAAAGGAGGUAAAUAUGUAAAAACAUGGAACA